CGCAGCAGCCAGUGCUUGGGGAAGGACAAACAUCAGUGGAGGUGCCCGAUGCAACCUUGAGAUCUCAGCCAUCCGUGUUAUCCCAGGCCGAAAGACUCCAAAGAAUUAGAAAGAGGUCACGUAGAAGCAAAGAAGACAAGCUGCAUGAAAUAAUGCAGCAGUCCCUUAAUGA